CACGUUAUGAAGUAGUAUAUAUCGUUUAACGUUGUUGUUUACGAAACUCCAGAAGAUUCGACUAUUUAUAGAUAAAAGUUACCUGUGUACCAAUAUCAUGAAUAUGCAUGAUUAAUGAUCAGGCAAAAUCUAAUUGCUAAAAUAGAGAGGACAAAUCCGAUACUCUACGGGAUUGAAGGACAUUUACUGGGUUUGGAUUGUCCUAACCAAUCAAUAAACUUUGAUUAUUCACGUCUCGUAAUUUCUUCCAAUCAGGUAGCAAGAAAAAUUCACGCACUGACUGUCCAUCGUUCAAUUCUUAAUCUCGACUCCUAGGAGCCGAGAAUAAAG
rnacentral:lncRNA from 1 species